UAAAGAAAAUGGGUAUUGCACGGUGAGGGUUUGGCCGCGGCCGCGCGCCGGGUCCUACUCAAUAUUCAAUGAUCUCGCUUGCGCCUCCCCCACCUCUUCCCGCAAAAAUUCCAUCGAGUCCGUUACUGGACACAGACUUUUAAGUUCAUUUUCUGCCCCCACCCCCCGUUUGUCCACUCAUCUGAGCCUUUAGGGGCGGCCUCCCCCCACCAGCAGCUCCCUCCUAAAAUGACAUUUUGCCUGGGUCUGUGGAGGGGCCUGAAUUUCACUUUGUAACUUUCUGCGGAACCCGAGCCGGGUGGCAGCUCCGGUGGUGGUAUCGUAUGCAAAUACGCAUGCUGACGUUACAGAUCAUGUGGGUUUUGGCGUAGAUUCCCCACUGAUCGAGGCAUUUUCCCCCUUUUUUUUUUCUUUUUCCUUUUUUUUUUUUUUUUUUUUUUUUUUUUUUUUUUUCUUUUCUUUUUUUCUUUUAAAAUUUUCAGCCAGCCGUUCUCCGUACGGGGGCUUUUUCUGCCUGUCUGUCUGUCUGCCAGGCUGGCUUUCCCCACCACCACCUCUUUCCCACGGAGCCCGAAUCGGGCGCCGGGUGGGGAGUGGGGAGUGGGUGGGGGGGAGCCAGCAGAGUUCCAUUUUGGAACGCCCGUGCCUCGUCUCCGCGUUCCCAGCCCGGGUCCCCGCGUUCCCAGCCCCGGCGCAGGUCUCCAUGCACUUGGCUGCUCUAGGAAUCCUGCUGCAAGAUUCCCAGGAUGUAAGGGACGUACAGCAGACACUGAUAUGAAGCUGCCUGGUGUGCUCAGAGAUUGCUACAGUUACGAUUUCCUGGGCUGAAAUCCUUCUGCACACUCACAGAAGAAGAUCUCAGCAUUCAAGGGAAGCCAAAGGCAUUGGAGAGGGAAUAAAGCCAAAAGCUAAGAAUCUCACUGUCCCUGUCCCUACCCACUAAAAAAAGAAGAAGAAGAAGAAGAAGAAGAAG